rnacentral:rRNA from 1 species
AUUGAACGCUGGCGGCAGGCUUAACACAUGCAAGUCGAGCGAGCGGCGGACGGGAGAGUACUGUAUGGGAAACUGCCUGAUGGAGGGGGAUAACUAGUGGACACGGUAGCUAAUACCGAAUAUCAUCAUAUGACCCUAGAUGGGCUUAGCUAGUAGGUGGGGUAAUGGCAUCCCUAGGCGAGGAUACCUAGCUGGUCUGCGAGGAUGACCAGCCACACUGGAACUGGGACACGGUCCAGGCUCCUACGGGAGGCAGCAGUGGGGAAUAUUGCACAAGGGGCGCAAGCCUGAGGCAGCCAUGCCGCGUGUGUGAAGAAGGCCUUCGGGUUGUAAAGCACUUUCAGCGAGGAGGCGUUACUCGCAGAAGAAGCACCGGCUAACUCCGUGCCAGCAGCCGCGGUAAUAC